GUAAGACUUCAGCAGCACGUAUACUAAAAUUGGAAUGAUACAGAAAAGAUUAGCAUGGCCCCUGUGUAAGGAUGACAUGAAAAUUUGUAAAGCGUUCCAUAUAUCU
rnacentral:snRNA from 1 species